rnacentral:misc_RNA from 1 species
GAUGAAGAACGUAGCGAAAUGCGAUAAGUAAUGUGAAUUGCAGAAUUCAGUGAAUCAUCGAAUCUUUGAACGCACCUUGCGCCCUUUGGCUAUUCCGAAGGGCAUGCCUGUUUGAGUAUCAUGAACACCUCAACCCUCAUGGUUUGCCAUGAUGGGCUUGGACUUUGGGGGUCUUGCUGGAUUGUAGUCAGCUCCCCUUAAAUGAAUCAGCUUGCCAGUGUUUGGUGGCAUCACAGGUGUGAUAAAUAUCUACGCUUGUGGUUUUACAUCAGAUAACCUUCAGUGAUGGAGGUUCACUGGAGCUCAUAAAGGUGUCUCUCCUCUAUGAGGACAGCUCUUUGAAUGUUUGAUCUCAAAUCAGGCAGGACUACCCGCUGAACUUAAGCAUAUCAAUAAGCGGAGGA